GAGGAAAGCUGGCGGCGUGCUUAACACAUGCCAGUCGAACGGAAAGGCCCUGCUUUUGUGGGGUGCUCGAUUGGCGAACGGGUGAGUAACACGUGAGUAACCUGCCCUUGACUUUGGGAUAACUUCAGGAAACUGGGGCUAAUACCGGAUAGGAGCUCCUGCUGCAUGGUGGUGGUUGGAAAGUUUCGGCGGUUGGGGAUGGACUCGCGGCUUAUCAGCUUGUUUGUGUGGUAGUGGCUUACCAAGGCUUUGACGGGUAGCCGGCCUGAGAGGGUGAACGGCCACAUUGGGACUGAGAUACGGACCAGAAUCCUACGGGAGGCAGCAGUGGGGAAUAUUGCAGAAUGGGCGGAAGCCUGAUGCAGAAACGCCGCGUGCGGGAUGACGGCCUUCGGGUUGUAAACAGCUUUCGCAUGUGACGAAGCGUGAGUGACGGUAAUGGGUAAAGAAGCACCGGCUAACUACGUG
rnacentral:rRNA from 1 species